UCGCACGAGAAAGGGGACUUCGGUCCCUGAGUACAGUGGCGCACGGGUGAGUAACACGUGAAUCAUCUACCUUCGAGUGGGGAAUAACUGAGAGAAAUCUUAGCUAAUACCGCAUAAUACCUACGGGUCAAAGCAGCAAUGCGCUUGAAGAGGAGUUCGCGGCAGAUUAGUUAGUUGGCGGGGUAAUGGCCCACCAAGACGAUGAUCUGUAUCCGGCCUGAGAGGGCGCACGGACACACUGGAACUGAAACACGGUCCAGACUCCUACGGGAGGCAGCAGUGGGGAAUUUUGCGCAAUGGGGGAAACCCUGACGCAGCAACGCCGCGUGGAGGAUGAAAUCCCUUGGGAUGUAAACUCCUUUCGAUCGGGAAGAUAAUGACGGUACCGAGAGAAGAAGCCCCGGCUAACUUCGUGCCAGCAGCCGCGGUAAUACGAGGGGGGCAAGCGUUGUUCGGAAUUAUUGGGCGUAAAGGGUGCGUAGGCGGUUUGAUAAGUCACAUGUGAAAUCUUCGGGCUCAACCCGAAGUCUGCAUGCGAAACUGUCGGGCUUGAGUGUGGGAGAGGUGAGUGGAAUUUCCGGUGUAGCGGUGAAAUGCGUANAUAUCGGAAGGAACACCUGUGGCGAAAGCGGCUCACUGGACCAUAACUGAC
rnacentral:rRNA from 1 species